UUGAAAAAUAUCCACCACGCCUUCAUUUCUGCUCCUAAUUUUCCCCAAACCCUAAUUCUCUCUCUCAAAUCAUUUCUGCCUUCAUACAUUUUCCUCUAAAAGUUCACCAUAAUUAUUUUUCUCCAAGUCCCUUUCCCGCACCAUCUUCUUGUUGGUCUUCCCCUACGUUGUGUUCGUUGUCGAGGCGUCGAGGCGUUGUGGCUGCGUAGGUCGUGUUCGCUCUCAGAGUUCCUCGCAUCUGCGUAGGAAGUGUCUCCAUUAACGUCAGGGAGACUGUCUCACAACAGUGAACCUUUGAACGGUGGUGCUUCUUUAACUGGAACGAACAGUCCACCAAUCUCUCAUUCUAACGAGUUUGACGAUGUUGUCAAUAAAAAAAAUAUCCAGUUCAGAUUCAUUGGCUCAUGCUUUAGGAAUCCAAGAGCAUUAUGGACGCGUUCGCGAUCUACGUUUGGGUCCUUGCUUAUCUAAAGUCUUUGGAGUCAAAGCUCGUUCUCAUAGUGGAUCAUCUUCAGUUGCCCCUUCUAAUAAUGAAUUACAAACUCAGGUAUCUUCAUUGACAUCACAAGUCAAUGACAUGACAUCACAAGUCAAUGAAAUGAAGGAAAUGAUAGCAAUUAUGUUGCAAAUUUAUCAGGGUCAAUUACCUUCAAAGUUUGCCUCAUUUCAAUAAUCGGUAUCUAAUUAAGGAAGCGUGCCAAACAAUGAAUGUAAUGAAGAUGAAGAAAAUUAGACAUGUAUGAACAAUUAGUUAUGUCUGGAUUGAUAUGCAAUGUAUGAAGUUUUGAGGAAGCAAAUAUCACAUGUCAUCCUUUUAGUUGUGUAUGUAUUGAUAUGCUAGUAUCUUUAAGUGCUUUCCUAAAGCUGCCAAACAAGGGAGGGAUCAUCCUCAUUAGUCCCUGAGCUAGUCUCCAUGUAUAUUUCAUCUUUUGAAUCACUUUUCUUGUUAGUCUCUCUUAAAUAUAGUUCUAAUUUUAUUA